rnacentral:rRNA from 1 species
UAGGAAAAGCCUCUAAGCUUCAGUCACUGACAGACCGUACCGAAAACCGACACUGGUGGGCGAGAUGAAUAUUCUCAGGCGCUUGAGAGAACUCUGGAGAAGGAACUCGGCAAAUUGACACCGUAACUUCGGGAGAAGGUGUGCCUCUAGUAGGUGAACCCGUACAGGGGGAGCCCAAUGAGGUCUCAGAAAAUCGGUGGCUGCGACUGUUUAUUAAAAACACAGCACUCUGCAAACACGAAAGUGGACGUAUAGGGUGUGACGCCUGCCCGGUGCUGGAAGGUUAAGUGAUGGGGUGCAAGCUCCUGAUCGAAGCCCCAGUAAACGGCGGCCGUAACAAUAACGGUCCUAAGGUAGCGAAAUUCCUUGUCGGGUAAGUUCCGACCUGCACGAAUGGCGUAACGCUGGCCACACUGUCUCCUCCAGAGACUCAGCGAAGUUGAAAUGGUUGUGAUGAUGCAAUCUACCCGCGGCUAGACGGAAAGACCCCGUGCACCUUUCUGUAACUUUGCAUUGGACUGUGAACCGAUCUGUGUAGGAUAGCUGGGAGGCUUUGAAGUGGGGGCGCUAGCUCUCAUGGAGCCAACGUUGAAAUACCAGCCUGAUUGUUUUGCGGUUCUAACCUAGGCUCGUCAUCCGGGCCGGGGAUCGUGCAUGGUAGGCAGUUUGACUGGGGCGGUCUCCUCCCAAAGAGUAACGGAGGAGUACGAAGGUACGCUUACCACGGUCGGAAAUCGUGGCUUAAUGUGCAUUGGCAAAAGCGUGCUUGACUGCGAGACGUACAUGUCGAGCAGGUGCGAAAGCAGGUCAAAGUGAUCCGGUGGUUCUGUAUGGAAGGGCCAUCGCUCAACGGAUAAAAGGUACGCCGGGGAUAACAGGCUGAUUCCUCCCAAGAGUUCAUAUCGACGGGGGAGUUUGGCACCUCGAUGUCGGCUCAUCACAUCCUGGGGCUGUAGCCGGUCCCAAGGGUAUGGCUGUUCGCCAUUUAAAGUGGUACGUGAGCUGGGUUUAAAACGUCGUGAGACAGUUUGGUCCCUAUCUACCGUGGGCGUUGGAAGUUUGAGGGGGGCUGCUCCUAGUACGAGAGGACCGGAGUGGACGCAUCCCUGGUGUACCGAUUGUCACGCCAGUGGCAUUGUCGGGUAGCUAUAUGCGGAAGGGAUAACCGCUGAAAGCAUCUAAGCGGGAAACCUGCCCCAAGAUGAGACUUCCCGGAGGCUUGACCUCCCUGAAGGGUCGUCCUAGACCAGGACGUUGAUAGGCUGGGUGUGCAAGGGCUGCGAGGCCUUCAGCUAACCAGUACUAAUUGCCCGUGUGGCUUGACCCG